rnacentral:tRNA from 1 species
CGGGUAGUAGGUCACUGGCAGAGCUCCCGCUUCGUAUGCGGGAAGACCUGGGUUCGAUUCCCGACUGCUUCC